UUGCGUUAGAAACUAGACUCAAAGGGAAUUAAAUUGAUAGGUAGAUCCUCAUAAAACUCUAUACAACUGGAGAUAUGAUCAUUUAAAGUGAGGUCUUGUGCACACUCAUUUAAAGCUUCGUCGAUUAUGAAAUUUCCAACUUCAAAAGUCCCCGUUAGCCACCCAAAAUCACCUCGAGGUCCCCAGACGUCAACCAAAAGUGAAACCCAUCUUAAACCAUCAUAUGAACUUGUUCUAAUAAUAAAACAUAUCCAAAAACAUAAAAAUCACCUGUCCUCAACGCAUUCAAGCCUAUGUUCAAUAAAAACUUCC
rnacentral:lncRNA from 1 species